AAUAAGCGGAGGAAAAGAAACUAACAAGGAUUCCCCUAGUAACUGCGAGUGAAGCGGGAAAAGCUCAAAUUUAAAAUCUGGUGGUCUUUGGCCGCCCGAGUUGUAGUCUGGAGAAGUGCUUUCCGCGCUGGACCGUGUACAAGUCUCUUGGAACAGAGCGUCAUAGAGGGUGAGAAUCCCGUCUUUGACACGGACUACCAGUGCUUUGUGAUGCGCUCUCAAAGAGUCGAGUUGUUUGGGAAUGCAGCUCAAAAUGGGUGGUAAAUUCCAUCUAAAGCUAAAUAUUGGCGAGAGACCGAUAGCGAACAAGUACCGUGAGGGAAAGAUGAAAAGCACUUUGGAAAGAGAGUUAAACAGUACGUGAAAUUGCUGAAAGGGAAACACUUGAAGUCAGUCGCGUCGGCCGGAACUCAGCCUUGCUCUUYUGCUCGGUGCACUUUCUGGUUGACGGGCCAGCAUCGAUUUUGACCGUUGGAAAAAGGCUGGGGGAAUGUGGCACCUUCGGGUGUGUUAUAGCCCUCGGUCACAUACAACGGACGGGAUCGAGGAACUCAGCACGCCUUUAUGGCCGGGGUUCGCCCACGUUCGUGCUUAGGAUGCUGGCGUAAUGGCUUUAAAUGACCCGUCUUGAAACACGGACCAAGGAGUCUAACAUGCCUGCGAGUGUUUGGGUGGAAAACCCGAGCGCGUAAUGAAAGUGAAAGUUGAGAUCCCUGUCAUGGGGAGCAUCGACGCCCGGACCUGACCUUCUGUGACGGAUCUGCGGUAGAGCAUGUAUGUUGGGACCCGAAAGAUGGUGAACUAUGCCUGAAUAGGGUGAAGCCAGAGGAAACUCUGGUGGAGGCUCGUAGCGAUUCUGACGUGCAAAUCGAUCGUCAAAUUUGGGUAUAGGGGCGAAAGACUAAUCGAACCAUCUAGUAG
rnacentral:rRNA from 1 species